UAAAUCAGUUAUGGUUCACUAGAUCGUACAGUUUACACGGAUAACUGUGGUAAUUCUAGAGCUAAUACGUGCAAUCAGCUCGCUUCCUUGUGGAGCGAGCGCAGUUAUUAGAACAAGACCAAUCCGGCCUUCGGGUCGGUACAAUUGGUGACUCUGAAUAACCGAAGCGGAGCGCAUGGUCUCGUACCGGCGCCAGAUCUUUCAAGUGUCUGACUUAUCAGCUUGUUGUUAGGUUAUGUUCCUAACAAGGCUUUUACGGGUAACGGGGUAUCAGGGUCCGAUACCGGAGAGGGAGCCUGAGAAACGGCUACCACAUCCAAGGAAGGCAGCAGGCGCGCAAAUUACCCACUCCCGGCACGGGGAGGUAGUGACGAAAAAUAACGAUGCGAGAGCUACAAAGUUUCUCGUAAUCGGAAUGGGUACACUUUAAAUCCUUUAACGAGGAUCUAUUGGAGGGCAAGUCUGGUGCCAGCAGCCGCGGUAAUUCCAGCUCCAAUAGCGUAUAUUAAAGUUGCUGCGGUUAAAAAGCUCGUAGUUGGAUCUGGGUAGCUGGACGGAUGGUGUGCCGAAAGGUAUUACUGUCUGUUCGGCACCACAAGCCGGUCAUGUCUUGCAUGCUCUUCACUGAGUGUGCUUGGCGGCCGGAACGUUUACUUUGAAAAAAUUAGAGUGCUCAAAGCAGGCGUACGGCCUUGCAUAAUGGUGCAUGGAAUAAUGGAAUAGGACCUCGGUUCUAUUUUGUUGGUUUUCGGAACUCGAGGUAAUGAUUAAUAGGAACAGACGGGGGCAUU
rnacentral:rRNA from 1 species